rnacentral:rRNA from 1 species
GAUUGAACGCUGGCGGCAUGCCUAACACAUGCAAGUCGAACGGGAGUAGCAAUACUCUAGUGGCGGACGGGUGAGGAAUACGUAGGAAUUUGCCCUUAAGUGGGGGAUAACCCGGGAACCCGGAUUAAUACCGCAUGACCUCGAAAGAGCAAAGUGGGGGAUCGCAAGACCUCACGCUUUUGGAGAAGCCUACGUCGGAUUAGCUAGUUGGUGAGG